rnacentral:rRNA from 1 species
AACAGGAUUAGAUACCCUGGUAGUCCACGCUGUAAACGAUGUCGACUUGGAGGUUGUGCCCUUGAGGCGUGGCUUCCGGAGCUAACGCGUUAAGUCGACCGCCUGGGGAGUACGGCCGCAAGGUUAAAACUCAAAUGAAUUGACGGGGGCCCGCACAAGCGGUGGAGCAUGUGGUUUAAUUCGAUGCAACGCGAAGAACCUUACCUACUCUUGACAUCCAGAGAAUUUGCUAGAGAUAGCUUAGUGCCUUCGGGAACUCUGAGACAGGUGCUGCAUGGCUGUCGUCAGCUCGUGUUGUGAAAUGUUGGGUUAAGUCCCGCAACGAGCGCAACCCUUAUCCUUUGUUGCCAGCACGUAAUGGUGGGAACUCAAAGGAGACUGCCGGUGAUAAACCGGAGGAAGGUGGGGAUGACGUCAAGUCAUCAUGGCCCUUACGAGUGGGGCUACACACGUGCUACAAUGGCAUAUACAAAGAGAAGCGAACUCGCGAGAGCAAGCGGACCUCAUAAAGUAUGUCGUAGUCCGGAUUGGAGUCUGCAACUCGACUCCAUGAAGUCGGAAUCGCUAGUAAUCGUAGAUCAGAAUGCUACGGUGAAUACGUUCCCGGGCCUUGUACACACCGCCCGUCACACCAUGGGAGUGGGUUGCAAAAGAAGUAGGUAGCUUAACCUUCGGGAGGGCGCUUACCACUUUGUGAUUCAUGACUGGGGUGAAGUCGUAACAAGGUAACC